AUUUUCUUAAUUUAAAGGCAGAAUAGUACUCUUCUAAAGUACAUAUUCCGGUUCGAUUCCGGAAGAGAAUA
rnacentral:tRNA from 1 species